GCUCUUGCGUUGUAGUUUGCUUUGCGGUGUUGUGUUUGGCCUGUUCAGAUGUGGUGUUUGUGCUAUUCUCGCUGUUCGUAGUGAGUGUAGUUUCUUAUAACUGAAAUUCUGCUUUCUAUAAAACUAUGGUAUGCCUAGGCGUACUCUCGAAUAAGAAAAACAUCAAUACCUAUAAAGCACUAAAGCAGCUUCCAGGUGACUCAAGCCCUCUGUUUUAUAUUUUUUUGUCCCAUAAUAUAAGAGCGUUUUUGACACUACACGAGUGUAAAUAAUGCUCUUAUAUUAUGAGAUGGAGGAAGUAUUUACUUCUAUAUGUAUUUUUACAUGAAUUUUAAACCCCUUUCAUAAUAAAUUAGUAGACUAGUCCAUCUAUUUUUUGUAAGUUUAAAUUUCGUGAAUUUGAAAGUUCGGAAAAGUUGAAGUUGAAUUUCGGAAAAAUAUUCCUUUGAGCCAGAGGAAACAGGGCAGGUAGCCCAGCAGCCCACAACUACUCGUACACCUUCUCGCACACAGCUCUUACCUCAUCCGUUACUCAAAAAAAACUAAAAAAUUCUUACCUCAUCCUCGUCCCCUUCUCUGGUCCUUCACAGGCGGCGACCCAUCUCGUUCGCCGGCGGUGACCCAUCUCCUUUGCCGCCGCCGGGAAAUAAGCUGCACCAUCUGAGCUUAUUUCCUCCUCCACGCUAGACCUCUCCCGCCAUGUAGCAGCUGCCUUCUCCUAGUGCAGAUCACUAGACCGCAGCCCUGCCUGCAGCAUUACAGCCCUACAUUACACCUGGAUCUUUUCUUUGCGGGGCAACAUGUACACGUGUACCUUAUACGAAGGUAAACUUCAGUAUAGCAAAGACCUAUUCGUACAUUUCGAAUAGCAGCUGGUGGUGGUUCUCGAGUGCAAGAAGAUGUGGUCUCUGGCCGGUUCUUGGGAUUUCUGCCAAGCAUGCAUUCUGCAAGAUGCAAGUCAGUCAUCAAGCUUCUUCCUGUCCAAGCAAUCGGCGUGUACUUGAGCCAGGAGGAGAGAGUUCAACCCAUUUUCUGAACUUGAGACCUGUGGCGUUUUUUGAUCCACGAAGGACCUGUGCCAUUGCUCGCCUGGAUGAAAGAUCAUUAGGAGAAAAAAGAAGAAAUUCAGAGCGCGCGCGCACACACACACGAGCCAUCAUUUGUUGGUCGAACUGAAACCAUGUGAUAACUGAUACUAGUUGUGCAAUGAAUUAAUGGUGCUCACGGCA